rnacentral:rRNA from 1 species
ACUCCUACGGGAGGCAGCAGUGGGGAAUAUUGCACAAUGGGGGAAACCCUGAUGCAGCCAUGCCGCGUGUGUGAAGAAGGCCUUCGGGUUGUAAAGCACUUUCAGUAGGGAGGAAGGUAGUGUAGUUAACACCUGCACUAUUUGACGUUACCUACAGAAGAAGCACCGGCUAACUCCGUGCCAGCAGCCGCGGUAAUACGGAGGGUGCGAGCGUUAAUCGGAAUUACUGGGCGUAAAGCGCAUGCAGGCGGCCUGUUAAGUCAGAUGUGAAAGCCCGGGGCUUAACCUCGGAAUUGCAUUUGAAACUGGCAGGCUAGAGUCUUGUAGAGGGGUUAGAAUUUCAGGUGUAGCGGUGAAAUGCGUAGAGAUCUGAAGGAAUACCAGUGGCGAAGGCGGCCCCUGGACAAAGACUGACGCUCAGAUGCGAAAGCGUGGGAGCAAACAGGAUUAGAUACCCCUGGUAGGUCAGUC